ACUGGUUCCCUGACGGGUGACCUGGGACUUUCGUCACCAGGGUCCGGUCGGGGCAUGACAUCACCAGACCAGGCUCUCAUUGGCCGCCGCGGCCAGCAGGUGGGAGCGGCCUGGACCCGGAGCCCCCAGCCUGAUCCGUAGGGCCUGAGCCGCCAGGACCCCCACGACCCACCCUCCAGAGGGUCACCCAUGGGAACAGUGCGGCCGCGGCGGCGUCCCCACGCCCGAGCGACUCUGGGUCGUGACGCGCUCGCCCGUGAGAUGUGAGAGGCACACACCUUCAAGGAGCUCCCAGUGAGCCUGGCAUAGAGAAGCCCCCAAUUGUGGCGAAUGGCACUUUGACCUCUGCCUUCAAAUAUUUGCCCCUGGACUCAAGUCCUUUCCUACACCCAUCUCUACCUCCUCCGAGCUUUCUGGACCCCCUUCACUCUCCAGGUCACCGGAACAGAGGCACCAUCUAACUGUGUCACCUUGUGCUGGAGCUGACGUCACCUCCUGGUCUGAAUUCACAUGGGAAAGCCAUUUCUUGACUGAAUGGGACUUCCAUGGAAGAAUCCACUUUCCUGGGAAGCAGCCUGCAUUGAAAUUAUUAUUGUUACUGGCUUUUUUACUGAUAGUAAGCAUUCAUUUUUAAAAACUGUGGUAGGGGCGCCUGGGUGGCGCAGUCGGUUGAGCGUCCGACUUCAGCUCAGGUCACGAUCUCACGGACCGU